UACGUAGGUGGCAAGCGUUGUCCGGAAUUAUUGGGCGUAAAGCGCGCGUAGGCGGUCCUUUAAGUCUGAUGUGAAAGCCCACGGCUCAACCGUGGAGGGUCAUUGGAAACUGAGGGACUUGAGUGCAGAAGAGGAGAGUGGAAUUCCACGUGUAGCGGUGAAAUGCGUAGAGAUGUGGAGGAACACCAGUGGCGAAGGCGACUCUUUGGUCUGUAACUGACGCUGAGGCGCGAAAGCGUGGGGAGCAAACAGG
rnacentral:rRNA from 1 species